AUUGAACGCUGGCGGCAUGCCUUACACAUGCAAGUCGAACGGCAGCACGGGUGCUUGCACCUGGUGGCGAGUGGCGAACGGGUGAGUAAUACAUCGGAACAUGUCCUGUAGUGGGGGAUAGCCCGGCGAAAGCCGGAUUAAUACCGCAUACGAUCUACGGAUGAAAGCGGGGGACCUUCGGGCCUCGCGCUAUAGGGUUGGCCGAUGGCUGAUUAGCUAGUUGGUGGGGUAAAGGCCUACCAAGGCGACGAUCAGUAGCUGGUCUGAGAGGACGACCAGCCACACUGGAACUGAGACACGGCCCAGACUCCUACGGGAGGCAGCAGUGGGGAAUUUUGGACAAUGGGCGAAAGCCUGAUCCAGCAAUGCCGCGUGUGUGAAGAAGGCCUUCGGGUUGUAAAGCACUUUUGUUCGGAAAGAAAGCCUUGGCUCUAAUACAGUCGGGGGAUGACGGUACCGGAAGAAUAAGCACCGGCUAACUACGUG
rnacentral:rRNA from 1 species